CCAGCACCCCGAGUGGUCGGGACGUUUAUUGGGCCUAAAGCAUCCGUAGCCGGUUCUACAAGUCUUCCGUUAAAUCCACCUGCUUAACAGAUGGGCUGCGGAAGAUACUAUAGAGCUAGGAGGCGGGAGAGGCAAGCGGUACUCGAUGGGUAGGGGUAAAAUCCGUUGAUCCAUUGAAGACCACCAGUGGCGAAGGCGGCUUGCCAGAACGCGCUCGACGGUGAGGGAUGAAAGCUGGGGGAGCAAACCGG
rnacentral:rRNA from 1 species